rnacentral:rRNA from 1 species
UACGUAGGUGGCAAGCGUUGUCCGGAUUUAUUGGGUUUAAAGGGUGCGUAGGCGGUCAUGUAAGUCAGCGGUGAAAUCCGGCAGCUCAACUGUCGAUGUGCCAUUGAUACUGCAUGACUUGAGUACUGAUGAGGUAGGCGGAAUUGACGGUGUAGCGGCGAAAUGCUUAGAUAUCGUCAAGAACACCGAUAGCGAAGGCAGCUUACUAAAGAGUAACUGACGCUGAGGCACGAAAGUGUGGGGAUCAAACAGG